CAUGGGUGAAUAUCUUUAAAGCAAUGCAAUAUCACAUUUCAGUGAAAUCCUCAAAAGGAGACAAAAGCAAAUGUCUUUGGAAAGGUUCCUUGCUGAAGCUGCAUGAAAGGAAAACAGAUUCAUUUGACCCAAUAGACAGCAAUGAUUCUGUUAGUGACUGAAAAUCAUCCUAUGCAAUAACCCUCCUCUCUCUUGCCUCCCUCCUACCGGCCACCAAGGUUCUCACAGAGACCAGGAUGAUAAGUAUUUCACAGAAGUCACUGACAAUUGGGCCUUGGCUGAUAAAGAUACAAUGUUCACCAUUGGAUUCAUGAACCUGGCAAUGUAUAUGUCACUGACCUCCAGCAGAAGGAACAGCUGGAUGUUUAGCUCAGUAGAGCUGUGUCUGUCUCCCAAGCACAAGGUGGUAAUUUUUCCAGGUAAUCUCCUCCACUCUGAUUUGGGGCUCAGUUAUGUAACAUGUGUUAGAAAAUACAAUCCAACUAAUGCGUAGUCCACAGACUGAAAGGUAAGUUUUUGUUGGCAGUAUUUCACUUCCUUUAAAAGCCUGCUGAAGGAUGGAAGCAGAUUGACUAGAGAUGAAUCGCCCAGCCCAGGUCAUCCGAGAUCAACCAAGUGAUAGAAGAUCUUCUAAAUGUGUUGUAACUGAGCCCAGGUAUAACUGCCAAGGAGAAGAACUAUUCAUCUAUCUCCAUUCUAGAUCUCUAACCUGGGGGCUAAGGAAAAUUGCAAUUGAUUGUAAUUUGAAGCCACAGAAUUUUGGGUGACAUUUAUUAUGCAAUAAUCACUGUGCAGAGAGUAACUACAGCAAGAUCAGUUUAGGUAACAUGAUCCCAACAAUGAAUGUAACUGUACUGUAUCCCUAAAAUGUACCAAUAAACUCAAUUAAAGCUGAAAAAAAAAUGUUAUAUAAACCCAGAAAAA
rnacentral:lncRNA from 1 species